UACGGAGGGUGCAAGCGUUAUCCGGAUUCACUGGGUUUAAAGGGUGCGCAGGCGGUUUUGUAAGUCAGAUGUGAAAUCCCCGGGCUUAACCUGGGAACUGCGUUUGAAACUACAAGACUAGAGUGUAGCAGAGGGGGGUGGAAUUCCACGUGUAGCAGUGAAAUGCGUAGAGAUGUGGAGGAACACCAAUGGCGAAGGCAGCCCCCUGGGUUAACACUGACGCUCAGGCACGAAAGCGUGGGGAGCAAACAGG
rnacentral:rRNA from 1 species